rnacentral:rRNA from 1 species
UGAGGAAUAUUGGUCAAUGGACGAGAGUCUGAACCAGCCAAGUAGCGUGCAGGAUGACGGCCCUAUGGGUUGUAAACUGCUUUUGUUUGGGAAUAAUCGACAUUACGUGUAAUGUUUUGCAUGUACCAUUCGAAUAAGGACCGGCUAAUCCCGUGCCAGCAGCCGCGGUAAUACGGAAGGUCCAGGCGUUAUCCGGAUUUAUUGGGUUUAAAGGGAGUGUAGGCGGUUGGUUAAGCGUGUUGUGAAAUGUAGAUGCUCAACAUCUGACUUGCAGCGCGAACUGGCUGACUUGAGUACACACAACGUAGGCGGAAUUCAUGGUGUAGCGGUGAAAUGCUUAGAUAUCAUGAAGAACUCCGAUUGCGAAGGCAGCUUACGGGAGUGUUACUGACGCUUAAGCUCGAAGGUGCGGGUAUCGAACAGG